rnacentral:rRNA from 1 species
UACGUAGGGGGCGAGCGUUGUCCGGAUUUAUUGGGCGUAAAGAGCUCGUAGGCGGCUCGAUAAGUCGGAUGUGAAAUCUCCACGCUCAACGUGGAGGGGGCCAUUCGAUACUGUCGUGACUCGAGUCCGGUAGGGGAGUGUGGAAUUCCCGGUGUAGCGGUGAAAUGCGCAGAUAUCGGGAAGAACACCCGUGGCGAAGGCGGUUCUCUGGGACGGUACUGACGCUGAGACGCGAAAAGCUGGGGGAGCGAACAGG